rnacentral:rRNA from 1 species
CGUCUAUAUACGUAUAGCAUAUCAAUAAGCGGAGGAAAAGAAACUAACAUAGGAUUCCCUCAGUAACGGCGAGUGAAGCGGGAAGAGCUCAAAUUUGAAAUCUUCAAGGUUUUACCUUGACGAAUUGUAGUUUAUAGAAGUGUUUUCUGUAGUGGAAGUUUGGUAAAAGUUCUUUGGAAUAGGACAUCAUAGAGGGUGAGAAUCCCGUAUUUGAUCCAUUCUCUCCUAGCUUUGUGAUACACUUUCAACGAGUCGGAUUGUUUGGGAAUGCAGUCCAAAAUGGGUGGUAAAUUUCAUCUAAAGCUAAAUAUUGGCGAGAGACCGAUAGCGAACAAGUACCGUGAGGGAAAGAUGAAAAGAACUUUGAAAAGAGAGUUAAACAGUACGUGAAAUUGUCAAAAGGGAAGCGUUUGACACCAGUGUUGUUUUUCCGAAAAUCAAUUACGAAUGUUUUAGUUUUUGAGGAGUUAUGACUUCAUCGGCUUGCUCCUUUCUUUAUGAAACUUUCUUAAUGCACUUUUCGGUUAACAAGUCAACAUCAAUUUCUUUUGUUGUAAAAGGGUAUGAGGAAGGUGGCUUUCUUUUCGGAGAAAGUGUUUAUAGCCUUGUGCCUCUGCAAUCGGAGAGAUUGAGGUCUGCAGCGUAGAUCCUUCGGGGUUAGAUACAUUUGUGCUAAGUUAUAGCUUUUCAUAGACAACUUGUUGACUAUGUUUAGUCUUGUAGCUUACUCGCUUAUGCUAUUUUACCUACGCUUAGGAUGUUGACUGAUAUGUAGUCGUA